rnacentral:rRNA from 1 species
AGAGUUUGAUCAUGGCUCAGGAUGAACGCUGGCGGCGUGCCUAACACAUGCAAGUCGAGCGGAGUUUUUAGAAAGCUUGCUUUUUAAAAACUUAGCGGCGGACGGGUGAGUAACGCGUGGGUAACCUGCCCUAUACACAGGGAUAACAUUGAGAAAUUGAUGCUAAUACCUGAUAAGCUAGCGCCUAGGCAUCUAGGAGUUAGAAAAACUGAGGUGGUAUAGGAGGGGCCCGCGUCUGAUUAGCUAGUUGGUGGGGUAAAGGCCUACCAAGGCGACGAUCAGUAGCCGACCUGAGAGGGUGAUCGGCCACAUUGGAACUGAGACACGGUCCAAACUCCUACGGGAGGCAGCAGUGGGGAAUAUUGCACAAUGGGGGGAACCCUGAUGCAGCAACGCCGCGUGAAGGAAGAAGUAUUUCGGUAUGUAAACUUCUAUCGACAGGGAAGAAAAGAAUGACGGUACCUGAAUAAGAAGCACCGGCUAAAUACGUGCCAGCAGCCGCGGUAAUACGUAUGGUGCAAGCGUUAUCCGGAUUUACUGGGUGUAAAGGGUGAGUAGGCGGUUAUGCAAGUCAUAUGUGRAAUUCUGGGGCUCAACCUCAGAGCUGCAUAAGAAACUGUGUAACUAGAGUACAGGAGAGGUAAGCGGAAUUCCUAGUGUAGCGGUGAAAUGCGUAGAUAUUAGGAAGAACACCGGUGGCGAAGGCGGCUUACUGGACUGAAACUGACGCUGAGUCACGAAAGCGUGGGGAGCGAACAGGAUUAGAUACCCUGGUAGU